rnacentral:rRNA from 1 species
GACGAACGCUAGCGGCGUGCUUAACACAUGCAGUCGAACGGUGAAGGUGGAGCUUGCUCCGCCGGAUCAGUGGCGAACGGGUGAGUAACACGUGGGCAACCUGCCCCUCACUUCGGGAUAACUCCGGGAAACCGGGGCUAAUACCGAAUACGACCUCCUUGGGCAUCCCGGGAGGUGGAAAGUUUUUCGGUGAGGGAUGGGCCCGCGGCCUAUCAGCUUGUUGGUGAGGUAACGGCUCACCAAGGCGACGACGGGUAGCCGGCCUGAGAGGGCGACCGGCCACACUGGGACUGAGACACGGCCCAGACUCCUACGGGAGGCAGCAGUGGGGAAUAUUGCGCAAUGGGCGAAAGCCUGACGCAGCAACGCCGCGUGCGGGAUGAAGGCCUUCGGGUUGUAAACCGCUUUCAGCAGGGAAGAAGCCGCAAGGUGACGGUACCUGCAGAAGAAGCACCGGCUAACUACGUGCCAGCCGCCGCGGUAA